rnacentral:rRNA from 1 species
GAUGAACGCUGGCGGCGUGCCUAAUACAUGCAAGUCGAGCGAACAGAUGAGGAGCUUGCUCCUCUGACGUUAGCGGCGGACGGGUGAGUAACACGUGGAUAACCUACCUAUAAGACUGGGAUAACUUCGGGAAACCGGAGCUAAUACCGGAUAAUAUAUUGAACCGCAUGGUUCAAUAGUGAAAGACGGUUUUGCUGUCACUUAUAGAUGGAUCCGCGCCGCAUUAGCUAGUUGGUAAGGUAACGGCUUACCAAGGCAACGAUGCGUAGCCGGCCUGAGAGGGUGAUCGGCCACACUGGAACUGAGACACGGUCCAGACUCCUACGGGAGGCAGCAGUAGGGAAUCUUCCGCAAUGGGCGAAAGCCUGACGGAGCAACGCCGCGUGAGUGAUGAAGGUCUUCUGAUCGUAAAACUCUGCUAUUAGGGAAGAACAAAUGUGUAAGUAACUAUGCACGUCUUGACGGUACCUAAUCAGAAAGCCACGGCUAACUACGUG